AGAGUUUGAUCCUGGCUCAGGACGAACGCUGGCGGCGUGCCUAACACAUGCAAGUCGAACGGAGAAUUUUAUUUCGGUAGAAUUCUUAGUGGCGAACGGGUGAGUAACGCGUAGGCAACCUGCCCUUUAGACGGGGACAACAUUCCGAAAGGAGUGCUAAUACCGGAUGUGAUCAUCGUGCCGCAUGGCAGGAUGAAGAAAGAUGGCCUCUACAAGUAAGCUAUCGCUAAAGGAUGGGCCUGCGUCUGAUUAGCUAGUUGGUAGUGUAACGGACUACCAAGGCGAUGAUCAGUAGCCGGUCUGAGAGGAUGAACGGCCACAUUGGGACUGAGACACGGCCCAAACUCCUACGGGAGGCAGCAGUGGGGAAUCUUCCGCAAUGGACGAAAGUCUGACGGAGCAACGCCGCGUGAGUGAUGAAGGAUUUCGGUCUGUAAAGCUCUGUUGUUUAUGACGAACGUGCAGUGUGUGAACAAUGCAUUGCAAUGACGGUAGUAAACGAGGAAGCCACGGCUAACUACGUGCCAGCAGCCGCGGUAAUACGUAGGUGGCGAGCGUUGUCCGGAAUUAUUGGGCGUAAAGAGCAUGUAGGCGGCUUAAUAAGUCGAGCGUGAAAAUGCGGGGCUCAACCCCGUAUGGCGCUGGAAACUGUUAGGCUUGAGUGCAGGAGAGGAAAGGGGAAUUCCCAGUGUAGCGGUGAAAUGCGUAGAUAUUGGGAGGAACACCAGUGGCGAAGGCGCCUUUCUGGACUGUGUCUGACGCUGAGAUGCGAAAGCCAGGGUAGCGAACGGGAUUAGAUACCCCGGUAGUCCUGGCCGUAAACGAUGGGUACUAGGUGUAGGAGGUAUCGACCCCUUCUGUGCCGGAGUUAACGCAAUAAGUACCCCGCCUGGGGAGUACGGCCGCAAGGUUGAAACUCAAAGGAAUUGACGGGGGCCCGCACAAGCGGUGGAGUAUGUGGUUUAAUUCGACGCAACGCGAAGAACCUUACCAAGGCUUGACAUUGAUUGAACGCUCUAGAGAUAGAGCUUUCCCUUCGGGGACAAGAAA
rnacentral:rRNA from 1 species